rnacentral:rRNA from 1 species
GAUGAACGCUGGCGGCGUGCCUAAUACAUGCAAGUCGAGCGAACAGACGAGGAGCUUGCUCCUUUGACGUUAGCGGCGGACGGGUGAGUAACACGUAGGUAACCUCCCUAUAAGACUGGGAUAACUUCGGGAAACCGGAGCUAAUACCGGAUAAUAUUUCGAACCGCAUGGUUCGAUAGUGAAAGAUGGCUUUGCUAUCACUUAUAGAUGGACCUGCGCCGUAUUAGCUAGUUGGUAAGGUAACGGCUUACCAAGGCAACGAUACGUAGCCGACCUGAGAGGGUGAUCGGCCACACGGGAACUGAGACACGGUCCAGACUCCUACGGGAGGCAGCAGUAGGGAAUCUUCCGCAAUGGGCGAAAGCCUGACGGAGCAACGCCGCGUGAGUGAUGAAGGUCUUCGGAUCGUAAAACUCUGUUAUUAGGGAAGAACAAACGUGUAAGUAACUGUGCACGUCUUGACGGUACCUAAUCAGAAAGCCACGGCUAACUACGUG